rnacentral:rRNA from 1 species
CCUACGGGUGGCAGCAGUAGGGAAUUUUCGUCAAUAGGCGCAAGCCUGAACGAGCAAUGCCGCGUGAACGAGGGAGGUCUUCGGAUCGUAAAGUUCUGUUGAAGGGGAAAAAGAGCGGAGAGAGGAAAUGGUCUCCGAUUGAUAUUACCCUUCGAGGAAGUCACGGCUAACUACGUGCCAGCAGCCGCGGUAAUACUUAGGUGGCGAGCGUUAUCCGGAAUGAUUGGGCGUUAAGGGUGCGUAGGCGGCCUGCUAAGUCUGGAGUGAAAGGUACCGGCUCAACCGGUACAGGGUCUGGAAAAUGGCGGGCUAGAGAGGAGGAGAGGGCGGUGGAACUCCAUGUGUAGCGGUAAAAUGCGUAGAUAUAUGGAAGAACACCAGUGGCGAAGGCGGCCGCCUGGCCUGUUGACUGACGCUGAGGCACGAAAGCGUGGGGAGCAAAUAGGAUUAGAUACCCCUGUAGUC